UGCUCGUUGUCCAGCCUCGAGAUUUGAUUUCCCCGAACUUGAGAUGUUCUAGACAUCACCGAUGUCUAGAUAUCGAACGUUCGGGGAAAUCAAAAUCUCGAGGUCGGGAAUCGACCA